UUUUCUUCUAUUUAUACCUCCCUAACCCUAGAAGCCACGUCCUCCCACCCCUAGCAGCCGUCACCCUUUUGUGCCUUGCCCCAAGAGAAGAGAGGAAGAAAAAAGAAGAGAAGAGAGGGGAGAUGAGGGCAUACCGUCGCCCAUCAUCGUCGUUCCUCUCCAAGAAUUGGUGGCUACACUCCGGAUCAUGCCUAGUACAUCUUUCUUCUUCGAUGAAGGCAAGUGAAUGUAGCAGUGGUUGCUACCGUUUUGACUUGUUGUUUUUUUAUCGCCUACGCUCUAAUAUUCAGAAUUAUGGAAUUCUUUCAUAAUUGAACUCUAUGGUGAUGCUUUACUUGCUUGUAUUAUACUGAUGCUCAAUCAUAUAUUGAUGAUGAUUAUGGUUCGAGUAUGACCCAUGAGAUUAAUUUACACCCCUGAAGGCAGAUAAAGUAUUAUUUGAGGUUUGUAUUGUAUCUGAAGGCAGAUGAAGUAUUAUUUGAGGUUUGUUUUGUAUCUGAAGGAAGUGAAGUAUAUUGAUAAAUGCAGCAUGCCAUAUGCAUUACAUUAUUCAUUUGCAUCUGAAGUUUGGUCGUGACCUAUGGUCCGACCGUACCGGUACAACUUAGCAUCGUACGUUGCCUGAGGAGGGGUACGAUGCGGCUUCAUACCCUUAGAGGUAUGAAGGCAGAGGACAUAUGCAUUGCAUUUAUAUGCAUUCAUUGAAGUGAUAUUAGCAGAUGAUGUGGUUUUAUACUCUCAGAGGUAUGAGGGGAGAUGACCUACACAUUGCAUUCCUAUGCAUACAUUGAAGUGAUAUCAGCAGGUAUUGUUGACGCAGGAAGGGUUAUACAACCUAUUGUGGUUGUUCGAGGAAAUGAGAUGGUAUUGGUUAUAUUGGGACUAUUGAGUUCUAUAUCUACAAGUAUUUCUAAUCUCAAUUGGGAUUCCUUUAAAAUGUUGUUUAAUUCAAUUUGUGGUUUAAAUAUCUCGUCAAAAUAAUUUGCUUGCUGAGAUGUAUCAUCUCACUCUUGCAUUACUCAAUGCAGGUAUUUGAUUCAUGUUGGGAAUGAGGGAAGUAGCAGCACGUCCACCUUCACUAUUAUAAUAACGCUGCCCAGUUGCAGCCAUGAUUUAAUUAGAAACUCGAUGUCAAAUGAUGUUUGUUUUUUUCUAGUCGUGUGCACUGGUUAAUUCAGUUCAUGUUGUUAUGUUUAACUUUCCUUUGCUAGCAUAUUAAUAAUGCUUAGUAUGUUUUUUGUCAUGAUAUAUGUUUAUACACUGUUGCCCCUCGUUUAUGCAAUCUUUCAAAG
rnacentral:lncRNA from 1 species